UAAGUAGGGUGCAAGCGUUGUCCGGAUUUAUUGGGUUUAAAGGGUGCGUAGGUGGCUUUUUAAGUCAUGGGUGAAGGCCUGCAGCUCAACUGUGUAAUUGCCUGUGAUACUGAGGAUCUUGAGUGCGGUUGAGGCAGCUGGAAUUGGUGGUGUAGCGGUGAAAUGCAUAGAUACCACCAGGAACACCGAUUGCGAAGGCAGGUUGCUAAGCCGUAACUGACACUGAGGCACGAAAGCGUGGGGAGCAAACAGG
rnacentral:rRNA from 1 species